GCCUGUGCCCUUACAUCUGCAGAGCAUUUGGUGAAAAGAUACACAGAUUUUUCCUCAUCAAAUUUUCAUUUUAUUUUGCAGGUGCUAUUGUUACAACAACUUGAUAAUAUGCACACAAGAUCUGUAAUGUAAAUGUAUAUGUUCAUACCGCUGAUAUUUCCGGUAUUACCGAUCGGGAUUGUGAAUAUGUUGAUAUGCAGACUGUCCGCCAUUUUUUGAACGCUGUAACACGAGAUCAAUGGACAACUUUGUCAUUAACACUUUGACAGACUGGCAGCUGACAGACCUUGUGACUUGUCUAAAGAUUUAAUAUUAGAGCCCCUCAGCCAGAUAGAGACCUACAAAGGACCACGUGGAUUAGGGACAACAAUUGGACCAUCGAUCAGAUCC